AUGAGAACUACAAAGAUCUCCCAAGCCGGUGGCAGCGGCUCGGGCGAGGCCGCGGACAAACGGCCCUUUUCAGGGCCACCUGAGAGCGCUCCUAGAGCUAGGUCCUUUUCAGGACUCCUAUGCGCCUCCUGUCCCGCCUCCCUGGCACCGGGUGACGGGCACUUGGCGUGCUUUUGGUGCCUCGGCGCCGACCACGCCGCGGCUGCUAUGGCGGCCCCCGUCUCCUGUGUCGCCUGCCGGGAGCUGCCUGAAGAGGGGAUCCUCUCCAGGCAUCUCUUCUUUUCCCCUGCGGUGGAAAUGGCUGACGCCAUCGACCUAUUCGGACCUGACGUCGACGAUGGCAUCAUCGACGCCUCCCUGGACGACGUCUUCGGCGACUCGGCGUCCGGUUUUUCCCGCUCUCGGGUUACAACCGCCACCGUCAUACAACACGAGGGUCCGCGCCGGAUGACCGAUCUCUUCCGGGAGAUCAUGGGUGAGGCGGCGGCCAUCAAAGGGAUUCCCAUGCCGGCCCCGCCUCUCGCCCCCGUAUCUGACGAUAUGCAGGGCGAGUGCUUUUGCACCCCAUCUUUUUUCCGGCGGGUUACCCAGUGCCCCUUGUUCCCGCCUUUGCAGCACUUGUUUAUUGCUGCCGGUGAGGACCCUUCGACCCUGAAGGCUCCGGUAAGAUCCUACACGGAUUUCACCAACGUGGAGGGGUGGGCCGAUACUAAGGCGAGGGGGAUCCCUCGUCUGGAGCCUCCCCUGGCAGCGCUUCUCUGUCCGGGCGCCGGAUGGCUCCUUAACGAAAAGCCGCUGCCCCCUGACCGCCUCCAGAAGCAGAUUGUCGGCCUAACGGACAGGGUGUUCGUUUGUGCCUCUCAAUCCGCGGCGGCGGUCAGCAACAUCGCCCUGCUCUCCUCUGCCAUGGUCUCCUUGUCGGCUGACAGGGAGGCCUACGGCCCGGAGGAAGCCGCGAGAUGGCUGGCGGUUUCCCGCUUUUCCAGCGCCAUCCUCCAGUUAUGCCAGCCGAUAGCCGUUUCGGCCGGCCAGCAUAUGGCGUGGGCUACCAUGAUUCAAAGGGUCAUAUGGCUCUCCCACACUGCGGUGCCGGAACGAGAGCGGGCCAGCCUCGUCCAGGGUCCACUAGCGCCGGAUGGCCUAUUUGGUCCCAGGUUCUCCGAGGUGCUCGCGCACCAGCAGUCAGUCCGUGAGAAUCGUUCCCGGUUCGGGACGAUUCUCACGGGCUCCUCCCGCCAGCAGGCUGAGAGGAAGCGGGGUCUAGGCCGGUCCCAGCGUUCCAUGGGGCCGCCUCCGACUCCAGCCCCGGUGCAGCAGCCGCAGCCGCCGCGCACGGGGAGAGCAGCAGCGCCACGGACCGGGAAGUUCCGGACGCUUGCUCCUACUUUUUCUUUCCCUAUUAAAGAAAAGAGUAAAGACCGUUCGUCCCCCACCCUUUAUGGGGUUGAUGGAGACCACGCUACGGGACCCGGCUGCGAGCACGGCUCUGGCAGCAGAGGUGGCACGUCUCUUGGUAAAGGGGGCCAUCACUGUCGUUCCCCCCCACGAGUCUCACCUAGGUUUUUAUUCCCGCUACUUCCUGGUUUCCAAGAAGUCAGGGGAAAUGAGACCUAUUCUGGAUCUUCGCGUGUUCAACAGAUUCGUUGCCACGAGGAAGUUCAGAAUGCUCACGGUCGGAGCAUUGUUCCGGUGUGUGAGAGAGGACGAUUGGUUCACAUCCCUGGAUCUCAAGGAUGCUUACUUCCACGUCCCUGUUCGGCAGGCGCACAGGAAGUUUCUCCGCUUUGCCUUUAUGGGGAUGGCGUACGAGUACCAGUGUCUGCCGUUCGGCUAUUCCCUGGCUCCGCGCACCUUCUCGAAGUGUGUGGAGACGGCGUUGGAACCGCUCAGACGUCAGGGAAAGAGGAUUCUCUUCUACCUAGACGAUCUGCUUAUUCUGAGCAACUCAGAAGAGACCGUGAGAAGGGACACCAUGUUGGUGAUGAACCAUCUCUCCUUCCUGGGUUUUGCCAUCAACUGGGAGAAGAGCUCCCCGCUCCCCAGCCGGCAGACAGUCUACUUGGGGCUUUGCCUAGACUCAGCCACCAUGACUGCGAUGCUUUCGCCUCCUCGGCGAGACGCCAUCCUGUCGGCGCUCUCCCGUUUUCACGUUCGCAGAAACGUGACCGCACUGUCCACCAUGCGCCUGUUGGGGCUGAUGGCAGCUGCCCACCCCGUGGUCCCCCUGGGUCUGCUUUUUAUGCGCAGACUCCAGCGGUGGUUUGCUCGCCAACGGUUGGACCCCAGGCGACACAAGCUCAGGGUGCUCCUCGUCCCCCGUUCGGUGUCGCCAGACCUGGAAUAUUGGAAAGGACCCUCCGCCCUUCUCAAGGGUGUUCCACUGGGCAGGGUGGCGUCCUACGUAGUGGUCUUCACGGACGCCUCGUUGACGGGUUGGGGAGGAACGUGCCUCUCUCACUCGGUCGGAGACGAGUGGCGCACGCCCCCUACAGCACACAUAAAUGUGUUGGAGCUCGACGCUGUGAGGAAAGUGCUGUUGCAUUUCUUUCACCUGGUGCGCGGCCGCCACGUUCUGAUCAGGAAAGACAGCGUGUCGGCGGCGGCGUACAUCAACAGACAGGGGGGAGUCCGCUCCCCUGCUCUCCACCGAAAGGCGGUCGAGCUCUGGCUUUGGGCUCAUCAGUAUCACCGCAGUCUGAGAGCCCUGCAUAUCGUGGGCGCCCAGAACUUUGGGGCGGACCUCAUGUCUCGAGGCGGUCCCCGCCGAGACGAGUGGCGGUUACAUCCCGACAUUGUCAGACUGAUCUGGCAGAGGUUCGGGACAGCGCAGGUGGACCUCUUCGCGUCCCGGGAGAACACGCACUGCAGGUGGUGGUUCUCCCUCAGCCCUCGGGAUCUUCCCCCGUUGGGGGUAGAUGCGUUGGCACACACACCUUGGCCGCGGGCUCUCUUGUAUGUGUGGCCUGUGGGAUUAGGUCUUCUCUCUCUGUCUCGUGCUGA
ensembl:lncRNA